UACGGGGGGAGCAAGCGUUGUUCGGAUUUACUGGGCGUAAAGGGCGCAGUAGGCGGCCUGUGCAAGUCAGUUGUGAAAUCUCCGGGCUUAACUCGGAACGGUCAACUGAUACUGCUCGGCUAGAGUGCGGAAGGGGCAACUGGAAUUCUUGGUGUAGCGGUGAAAUGCGUAGAUAUCAAGAGGAACACCUGCGGCGAAGGCGGGUUGCUGGGCCGACACUGACGCUGGAUGCGCGAAAGCUAGGGGGAGCGAACGGG
rnacentral:rRNA from 1 species